rnacentral:tRNA from 1 species
GUAAGUAUAGUUUAACUAGAAUAUUAGAUUGUGGUUCUAAAGAUGGGGGUUAAAAUCCCUUUACUCACC